rnacentral:tRNA from 2 species
CGGGGCAUGGCGCAGCCCGGUUAGCGCGCAUGACUGGGGGUCAUGAGGUCGGGAGUUCAAAUCUCCCUGCCCCGA